rnacentral:rRNA from 1 species
AGAGUUUGAUCCUGGCUCAGAACGAACGCUGGCGGCAGGCUUAACACAUGCAAGUCGAGCGAGAUCUUCGGAUCUAGCGGCGGACGGGUGAGUAACGCGUGGGAACGUGCCCUUUGCUACGGAAUAGUCCCGGGAAACUGGGUUUAAUACCGUAUACGCCCUUCGGGGGAAAGAUUUAUCGGCAAAGGAUCGGCCCGCGUUGGAUUAGGUAGUUGGUGGGGUAAUGGCCUACCAAGCCGACGAUCCAUAGCUGGUUUGAGAGGAUGAUCAGCCACACUGGGACUGAGACACGGCCCAGACUCCUACGGGAGGCAGCAGUGGGGAAUCUUAGACAAUGGGGGCAACCCUGAUCUAGCCAUGCCGCGUGAGUGAUGAAGGCCUUAGGGUUGUAAAGCUCUUUCAGCUGGGAAGAUAAUGACGGUACCAGCAGAAGAAGCCCCGGCUAACUCCGUGCCAGCAGCCGCGGUAAUAC